UAAUUAGAUGCUAGUAAAAGGUUAUGUAGGUUUAAAUAUAUAUUAAGGAAUCAUUAUUAUAAAGAAAUAUGAAAAGCCAUGGAAGCUUCAAAUGAUUGUGGUGAUAGAAAAAAUGUGUCAUUUAUAAGUAUAGUAUCAUAUUAAAUUUAAACCUUUUAAAUUUAUAUUUUAUGUAUUUCCAAUUCCAUUUUCUUAUUAAAUAACGUUCAACAUAAACAUUCAAAUUCGAAUUGAAGUUUAAUAAUAUACAAAUUUAAUUAAUUAAUUGUUCAAAUCUCAAUUUCAAUUAAAUAAUUUCAAAUUAAUUACUAAAUUCAAAUAUUUAGAUUUAAAAAGUUAAAAAAUAUUGUAAUCUAAGAGGCUUAUCACAAAAAUUCGAAAUUUUAGAAAAUUCUUGAAUUUUGUCCAGCUCGCUAGAUGCGUUGCGACCAACAAUUGGCACGUGCACCUAUGACUAGACGUGUUUUGUUUUUUUCAAUUUUUACCAAGUUUGUGCUAUUAACUAAAAUUGGUUAUGCUAUGAUACCACCGUUAGGGAUUAUUAACACCCAAUACACAUCAUAGGGUAGCAGAAACAGUCAACAGAUUUAUCUAAGUGCACAUGCAUCCUACAAUCCAGAUUUUACUUGUUACAACAACAUAUUUUAAAAAUGAACAAAAUAAAUAAUUACUAACCUCAUAAUUGCUUGUUUAUGAUCUUGUGUCUGUCAACUCGUUACAAUGAUGAUGAUCCAACGUAGCACUCAUCUAAUGGAAUCAGACCCACAACACCAAAAGUAAAAGGAAGAAACCCAAAACUAGGGUUUAUUCAAAAAUCAACUCUUGGGAGAGAGGUUGUAAAUUCCUUUUGGAAAGAGAGAGAGAAAGAGAGAGAGAGAGAGAGAAAGAGAGAGAGAAAGAGAUAUAGAGAGGUAGUGGACGAAUUUGGUGAGAGAAUAAUCAC
rnacentral:lncRNA from 1 species